AGUCACUGACAUUAGAUACCCCUGUAGUCCCAGCCGUAAACAAUGUGCGUUAGGUGUGUCGGUAACCACGCGUUACUGAUGCGCCGAAGAGAAAUCGUGAAACGCACCACCUGGGAAGUACGGUCGCAAGGCUGAAACUUAAAGGAAUUGGCGGGGAGCACCACAACAGGUGGAGCCUGCGGUUUAAUUGGACUCAACGCCGGGAAGCUCACCGGAUAGGACAGCAGAAUGAUUGCCGGGCUGAAGACCCUGCAUGACUAGCUG
rnacentral:rRNA from 1 species